AUCAGUAACGGCGAGUGAAGCGGCAAGAGCUCAAAUUUGAAAUCUGGCCCCCUCGGGGUCCGAGUUGUAAUUUGCAGAGGAUGCUUCGGGUGCGGCCCCCGUCUAAGUGCCCUGGAACGGGCCGUCAUAGAGGGUGAGAAUCCCGUCUGGGACGGGGUGUCCGUGCCCGUGUGAAGCUCCUUCGACGAGUCGAGUUGUUUGGGAAUGCAGCUCUAAAUGGGUGGUAAAUUUCAUCUAAAGCUAAAUACUGGCCGGAGACCGAUAGCGCACAAGUAGAGUGAUCGAAAGAUGAAAAGCACUUUGAAAAGAGAGUUAAAUAGCACGUGAAAUUGUUGAAAGGGAAGCGCUUGCGACCAGACUCGCCCGCGGGGUUCAGCCGGCAUUCGUGCCGGUGUACUUCCCCGUGGGCGGGCCAGCGUCGGUUUGGGCGGCCGGUCAAAGGCCCCCGGAAUGUAGUGCCCUUCGGGGCACCUUAUAGCCGGGGGUGCAAUGCGGCCAGCCUGGACCGAGGAACGCGCUUCGGCACGGACGCUGGCAUAAUGGUUGCAAACGACCCGUCUUGAAACACGGACCAAGGAGUCUAACAUCUACGCGAGUGUUCGGGUGUCAAACCCGUGCGCGCAGUGAAAGCGAACGGAGGUGGGAGCCCCCUGAGGGGCGCACCAUCGACCGAUCCUGAUGUCUUCGGAUGGAUUUGAGUAAGAGCGUAAAUGUGGGGACCCGAAAGAUGGUGAACUAUGCCUGAAUAGGGCGAAGCCAGAGGAAACUCUGGUGGAGGCUCGCAGCGGUUCUGACGUGCAAAUCGAUCGUCAAAUUUGGGUAUAGGGGCGAAAGACUAAUCGAACCAUCUGGUAGCUGGUUCCUGCCGAAG
rnacentral:rRNA from 1 species